rnacentral:rRNA from 1 species
AGGACGAACGCUGGCGGCGUGCUUAACACAUGCAAGUCGAGCGGUAAGGCCCUUCGGGGGUACACGAGCGGCGAACGGGUGAGUAACACGUGAGCAAUCUGCCCUUCACAUCGGGAUAACCCCCGGAAACGGGAGCUAAUACCGGAUACGACCACUUCAGGCAUCUGAUGGUGGUGGAAAGUUCUGGCGGUGAAGGAUGAGCUCGCGGCUAUCAGCUUGUGGUGGGUAAUGGCCCACAAGGCUUCGACGGGUAGCCGGCUGAGAGGGUGACCGGCCACACGUGGGACUGAGACACGGCCAGACUCCGUACGGGAGCAGCAGGUGGGAAUAGUGGACAAGUGGGACGAAAGCCUAGAUCCGAGCCAACGCCGCGUGGAGGGAUGGACGGUCCGUUCGGGUUACGUAACCUCUUCAGCGACAGACGAAGACGAA